rnacentral:lncRNA from 1 species
AUGGAGAUGAGUAAGAAUAAUUAAAUGGUUUAAUUAUUUAUGGCAAGGAUUAAUUAAUAUGUUAAUUAAUCAAGCGAAUAAGUUCGUUAAAGACCUCGGGAUAGUUUUGGACCUUAAGGCCCAAUGGGCUUCGAACGUCAAGCCCAUUGACUUAAGUUGUAUGACAACUUAAUUCACAAAAGCCCAAAAGCCCAAACAACACCCUAUGGCCGGCCAUUUAAAGGAAGGGUAGUGAACUUGCUUUAAUUACAAGUUUGCCACUCAAAUGAACAAAGGUAUAAAUAUGACUUUAUAGCCUUUUGUUCAUUAGGGUUUGUUUUGGAGAAAAUUGGUGAGACCUUGUCUCUCCAUUUCUCUCUAAAGAGGCCGGCUACCUUGGGGGGUGCAUCUUGCAAUCCCACUACUCCAAGGUCACUCAUUUCUUCUCCAAUCUCUCCUU